rnacentral:rRNA from 1 species
UACAGAGGUCCCAAGCGUUGUUCGGAUUCAUUGGGCGUAAAGGGUGCGUAGGUGGUGAGGUAAGUCGGAUGUGAAAUCUCCAAGCUCAACUUGGAAAUGGCAUUGGAAACUACCUUGCUGGAGGUUUGGAGGGGGACUGGAAUUCGUCGGUGUAGCAGUGAAAUGCGUAGAUAUCGAGAGGAACACCAGUGGCGAAGGCGAGUCCCUGGACAAAACCUGACACUGAGGCACGAAAGCUAGGGGAGCAAACAGG